rnacentral:tRNA from 1 species
AUUGGUAUAGCAUAAGAAGUGCAUUUGUUUUAAGCGCAAAAGAUAUACGCCAAUA